AUUGGCCUGACCUCAACAUGAUAAUGCAAUGCAUAUGAACUUUGGUUAGCAUGCCAGUGGUGAGAAAACUGUGUGACUAAAUCAAAAUGCCAUUUGCAAGUGUAAAAUUUAACUAAUGGUUAAUUUAUCAUUUAAUUUCAGUGUGGAAAUCAAAUUUCAAUAUGUAAUGCAAAAAUAGUUGCAUUUUAAUUUUGAUUACAAUAAGUAAUUGUGACAUUUUCAAGAUACAUUCUCGUUGGAAAUAUGAUUUGUUGGUGAUGUGCUCCAAUUCAGAU
rnacentral:misc_RNA from 1 species